rnacentral:rRNA from 1 species
AUUGAACGCUGGCGGCAUGCCUUACACAUGCAAGUCGAACGGUAACGCGGGGCAACCUGGCGACGAGUGGCGAACGGGUGAGUAAUGCAUCGGAACGUGCCCAGUAGUGGGGGAUAGCCCGGCGAAAGCCGGAUUAAUACCGCAUACGACCUACGGGUGAAAGCGGGGGACCGUAAGGCCUCGCGCUAUUGGAGCGGCCGAUGUCAGAUUAGGUAGUUGGUGGGGUAAAGGCCUACCAAGCCUUCGAUCUGUAGCUGGUCUGAGAGGACGACCAGCCACACUGGGACUGAGACACGGCCCAGACUCCUACGGGAGGCAGCAGUGGGGAAUUUUGGACAAUGGGCGCAAGCCUGAUCCAGCCAUGCCGCGUGCGGGAAGAAGGCCUUCGGGUUGUAAACCGCUUUUGUCAGGGAAGAAACGCUCCGGGCUAAUACCCUGGGGUAAUGACGGUACCUGAAGAAUAAGCACCGGCUAACUACGUG